rnacentral:lncRNA from 1 species
GUUCGUCACUCCCCAUAACUGGGAAGGAGUCAGAGACAAUUACUUCAUGCCGACACUUCUUUCUAGCUAAUUUACACGCUGACGCUAUGUUGUGCUUGGUGACUUCUGACUGUUUCAGCACCCUCUUCAGAUUAGCCUUUAUGUCGGUAGCCCUGCCCCCUGGUAAACAGUGUAUGAUCGCUGGAUGAUUAUUUAUAAGUCUAAUACUGCUGGUAAUAGAGUUGCCAAUGACUAGGGCUUUCAAUUUGUCAGAGCUAAUGGUGGGAGGCUUCGGCGGCUCAGAUCCCGUAAAGGGUGGAGGAGAGACCAGAGAAGGCUCGGCCUCUGACCCCGACUCGCUGCUUAAUGGGGAGAACCGGUUGAAAGUUUCUGUCGGCUGACUGAGCGACACCGGUUGAGCAUUCCGACAGCAUUUCCUUCCAGAAGCCAUGAGAAAAUUGUCUGGCUGUGGGUACUGCGCGAGGAAUUGUGACCCAGGUGAGUGAGGCAUGCUGUGCUGCGAAAGGUGAAAAAACAGACUGCAUCUGUAUGCAUGUGAUUCUUCAUCUUCUUCAUCCUCAAGAAGAUAAAAUGCCAAACAUCAAUCAAUAAAUUACGGGGAAAAGCAGGCCAAGAGUGAUGUUUCCUAUUUAAUCCUUCCAGGCCCAUUACCGCUCUGUGGUGAAGACCUGGGCAACCGUAACAAGAGUGAUGCUGGCUAGCUGCCAGGUGGGGCGAGUGCUCAGGUUUUAGCUACAGCUCCCCUUUGUCUGUGGUUAGGCGUGCUUUGUAACCUUACUAAUUUUGUCUCAGCUACGGACUGCCAACACCAACGAAUGCCAGGCCUGCUUCACUGGCAUUUGCAGGGAAGAGAGAGCAUGUGUGAGGGGAGAGGUUUCCGAAUAAUAUUUGGUAAUUUUGUAUGGGCAAUAUUCUGACUUGGGAUAACUAACUCAAAUGUUUAAGUCUCCAAUUGACAUCAAUGAAGUCAGAGUAUGUAUUUAUCUCAACUCUGAAUCGGGCCAAUAUGCUUGACAAGUGAUGCACAACACAGGUUAUCGGUUUGUUUGAGGAUUAAACAUAAUUCACGCAAAGAAUAUCCCUGCUUCAAACAUGCACACUGGUUACUCACAAAGUUGUACUAUUCUGUUGUGCUUUGGCACAGGUUGUCAAAACCCCAAAAGUUAGCAUGUUCCUAAUUUCGAAUUUCAAAUGUGCAGAAAGUGAGUAAAAUGUUAACUAUAAUAAGGAAACAUGUCUAUCUGACUAUUUCACAGAUCAUUUUGGGGAUAGCCUGGACACCACUUAUAAAC